AUUGAACGCUGGCGGCAGGCUUAACACAUGCAAGUCGCGCGAGCGGCGGACGGGUGAGUAAUGUAUGGGAAACUGCCUGAUGGAGGGGGAUAACUACUGGAAACGGUAGCUAAUACCGCAUACCAUCAGAUGAACCCAGAUGGGAUUAGCUUGUAGGUGGGGUAACGGCUCACCUAGGCGACGAUCCCUAGCUGGUCUGAGAGGAUGACCAGCCACACUGGAACUGAGACACGGCCCAGACUCCUACGGGAGGCAGCAGUGGGGAAUAUUGCACAAUGGGCGCAAGCCUGAUACAGCCAUGCCGCGUGUAUGAAGAAGGCCUUCGGGUUGUAAAGUACUUUCAGUCGGGAGGCGUUACCGACAGAAGAAGCACCGGCUAACUCCGUGCCAGCAGCCGCGGUAAUAC
rnacentral:rRNA from 1 species